rnacentral:rRNA from 1 species
GACGAACGCUGGCGGCGUGCCUAACACAUGCAAGUCGAACGAGAAGGCCGGGCUUAGGGGCGCUCGGGGGGGUGACGCGGGGGAACCUGCCCGUGGGUUCGGAAUCACUCCCCGAGGGGGGUCCUAAGACAGGUUAAGCUCUUCGGACCAAGGAUUUAUCGCGUUUGGGUGGGCGCGCGUUGGAUUCGCUAGUUGGUAGGGUAAAAGCCUAUCAACGCGACGUUGCAUAGCUGGUCUGUGAGGAGGAUACGCCACACUGGGGCUGAGACACGGCCCAGACUCCGACGCAGGGGAGCAGUGGGGAAUAUUAGACGAGGAGCGCAGGUGUGAUCCAGCAAUGCCGCGUAAGUGAUGAAGGCGUUAGUGUUCUAAUGCUCUUUUACCCGAGAUGAUAAUGACGGUACCGGGUGAAGAAGCUCCGGCUAACUCCGUG